rnacentral:misc_RNA from 1 species
GUAGGUGAACCUGCGGAAGGAUCAUUACCGAGUUCAUGCCCUUCGGGGUAGAUCUCCCACCCUUUGUAUACUAUACCUUUGUUGCUUUGGCGGGCCGCCUAGCUACUGGCUUCGGCUGGUUAGUGCCUACCAGAGAACCACAACUCUGUAAUAAAUGUCGUCUGAGUACUAUAAAAUAGUUAAAACUUUCAACAACGGAUCUCUUGGUUCUG